UACAGAGGUCUCAAGCGUUUGUUCGGAUUCAUUGGGCGUAAAGGGUGCGUAGGUGGCGCCGUAAGUCGGGGUGUGAAAUUUUCGGAGCUUAACUCCGAAACUGCAUUCGAUACUGCGGUGCUUUGAGGACUGGAGAGGAGACUGGAAUUCAUGGUGUAGCAGUGAAAUGCGUAGAGAUCAUGAGGAAGACCAGUGGCGAAGGCGGGUCUCUGGACAGUUCCUGACACUGAGGCACGAAGGCCAGGGGAGCAAAACGGGG
rnacentral:rRNA from 1 species